AGAGGGGAAAGGUUCCAUGU
rnacentral:snRNA from 1 species